rnacentral:rRNA from 1 species
UACAGAGGUCCCAAGCGUUGUUCGGAUUCACUUGGCGUAAAGGGUGCGUAGGCGGUCGGGUAAGUCUGACGUGAAAUCUUCAAGCUUAACUUGGAAACUGCGUCGGAUACUAUUCGGCUGGAGGAAUGGAGGGGAGACUGGAAUACUUGGUGUAGCAGUGAAAUGCGUAGAUAUCAAGUGGAACACCAGUGGCGAAGGCGAGUCUCUGGACAUUUCCUGACGCUGAGGCACGAAAGCCAGGGGAGCAAACGGG